CUUCAUUUGUGAAACCCUACUCCCAAACACACCAGCCGCUACAUCUAUGUUCCCUCUCAUCUACUGUCUACAACUAAAGAUUUAACUCACACAUACACUCGCAAGCCCCCCCCCCCCCCCCCCCCCCCCCGGUUGUUAAAUGUUGAACGAUCGGCCAUCACCAGAUGUUGGUUGACAUCGGACCGAGAUGGCAGACAGGAGAGAAAGAAAGGACGACGAGAAUGGGAGCGCCGCCGCCGCUCACGGCGGUGGCAGGGGUGACGACGGUGGUGUGAUGGUCCGAGGAGUCUCACGUCGGGGUUCGGUUCAGCGGUAGAGUUGGUGGUGGCGGUCGUGACGGGGUGGCAACGUUGGGGUUUUGACAGCAGAACCCUGGUAGGUUUUAGUCCCCGAGUUCUUCAACUCAGAUCCGUUUGGAUCCUCUUCUUCAUGGAUCCUUGUUUGUUUUUUUUUUUUAAAUAAAGGUAUCGAUGAUGACCGAUGAUGAACGUUGAUGAUGACGGCAGCGGCGGUCAGUUGUGGUGAAGAUACGGUUCUAAUUUUGGCUCAGGUUCGAGUCAACUUAGUCGGAUACUUAAACUCGAGUUAACUCAGUCAAACUCGGGUCAACACAGUCAAAGAAGGGUCUCGUUUUGGGGUUCUAUCAGGAUCAGUCAACAGUAGACAAACAAUCAACUGCGGUUUGGUCAAACAUCAAAUUCGGGGCAGAUUUAUUCGGGUUUCGGGUUAAACCCGGUUGGCUCGGUCAACACCCGAGUCAACUCGGGUCAACAGUGGUCAACGGACGGUCAACAGUCAAUGGUCAACUGCCUGGUCAAAACCAGUCAAUGCGUGACCCGGUAAAGUUAUAACGACAUGAAAUUUAGUUUGGUUCAAUAUAGAUUUUAUAUUUUUACGCGACCGAGCUUGAACCGAAUGCAUUUAGUGAACGAUUUUCAUUUUUGACAUACUUGACGAACAUUUUUAUACAUAAUGUUUACAUUGUUGAUUGAAUUUUGAAAAUAUAUCGACACGUUAGUCG